rnacentral:rRNA from 1 species
UACGUAGGUGACAAGCGUUGUCCGGAUUUAUUGGGCGUAAAGCGAGCGCAGGCGGUCUUUUAAGUCUGAUGUGAAAGCCCACGGCUCAACCGUGGAGGGUCAUUGGAAACUGGGGGACUUGAGUACAGAAGAGGAAAGUGGAAUUCCACGUGUAGCGGUGAAAUGCGUAGAGAUGUGGAGGAACACCAGUGGCGAAGGCGACUUUCUGGUCUGUAACUGACGCUGAGGCGCGAAAGCGUGGGGAGCAAACAGG